rnacentral:lncRNA from 1 species
UAGGGUUUGUUGAUGUGUAUUCUGGUGUUGGGCCAUUUGGGCUGAGUUGGUUUGCUGGGCUUAGAAUAUGGUUUAGGUCAGGCUAGAUUAAUGGGCUGUUUGUAUUGGGUCUUGUUAUAUUUUGGGGUUAAAGUCUGUAUUUUUUUAGGUAAAUUGAUCUGGGCCAAUGUAAAUGGAUUGUUUUUGGACUGAAUUUUAUUUAUUAUUUUUUCUUGGUUUUUUUCUGCUUAUUCUGAAUGGGCCCCGGGGCAAAAUUGGGUAUUACAAUGAUGAGAAUGUCAUGCAAACACAAUAAAAAA